rnacentral:rRNA from 1 species
UACGGGGGGAGCAAGCGUUGUUCGGAUUUACUGGGCGUAAAGGGCGCGUAGGCGGUCAGCACAAGUCAGUUGUGAAAUCUCCGGGCUUAACUCGGAAAGGUCAACUGAUACUGUGCGGCUAGAGUGCGGAAGGGGCAACUGGAAUUCUCGGUGUAGCGGUGAAAUGCGUAGAUAUCGAGAGGAACACCUGCGGCGAAGGCGGGUUGCUGGGCCGACACUGACGCUGAUGCGCGAAAGCCAGGGGAGCGAACGGG